GAUGAACGCCGGCGGUGUGCCUAAUACAUGCAAGUCGAACGCGUUGGCCCAAUUGAUUGAUGGUGCUUGCACCUGAUUGAUUUUGGUCGCCAACGAGUGGCGGACGGGUGAGUAACACGUAGGUAACCUGCCCAGAAGCGGGGGACAACAUCUGGAAACAGAUGCUAAUACCGCAUAACAGCGUUGUUCGCAUGAACAACGCUUAAAAGAUGGCUUCUCGCUAUCACUUCUGGAUGGACCUGCGGUGCAUUAGCUUGUUGGUGGGGUAACGGCCUACCAAGGCGAUGAUGCAUAGCCGAGUUGAGAGACUGAUCGGCCACAAUGGGACUGAGACACGGCCCAUACUCCUACGGGAGGCAGCAGUAGGGAAUCUUCCACAAUGGGCGCAAGCCUGAUGGAGCAACACCGCGUGAGUGAAGAAGGGUUUCGGCUCGUAAAGCUCUGUUGUUAAAGAAGAACACGUAUGAGAGUAACUGUUCAUGCGUUGACGGUAUUUAACCAGAAAGUCACGGCUAACUACGUGCCAGCCGCCGCCGUAAGAC
rnacentral:rRNA from 1 species